GACAGAGGAUGCAAGCGUUAUCCGGAAUGAUUGGGCGUAAAGCGUCUGUAGGUGGCUUUUUAAGUCCGCCGUCAAAUCCCAGGGCUCAACCCUGGACAGGCGGUGGAAACUACCAAGCUGGAGUACGGUAGGGGCAGAGGGAAUUUCCGGUGGAGCGGUGAAAUGCGUAGAGAUCCGGAGGAACACCAGUGGCGAAGGCGACACGCUGGGCCGUACCUGACACUGAUGCGCGACAGCAUGGGGAGCAAACAGG
rnacentral:rRNA from 1 species